GACUGAUCGGGCUUGCCUGGUUGGUUAGUGGCGAACGGGUGAGUAACACGUGAGUAACCUGCCCCUGACUCUGGGAUAACUGCUGGAAACGGUGGCUAAUACCGGAUAUGAGGCCUGGCCGCAUGGUCUGGGUCUGGAAAGAUUUUUUGGUUGGGGAUGGGCUCGCGGCCUAUCAGCUUGUUGGUGGGGUGAUGGCCUACCAAGGCGACGACGGGUAGCCGGCCUGAGAGGGCGACCGGCCACACUGGGACUGAGACACGGCCCAGACUCCUACGGGAGGCAGCAGUGGGGAAUAUUGCACAAUGGGCGCAAGCCUGAUGCAGCGACGCCGCGUGAGGGAUGAAGGCCUUCGGGUUGUAAACCUCUUUCAGCAGGGAAGAAGCGCAAGUGACGGUACCUGCAGAAGAAGCGCCGGCUAACUACGUGCCAGCAGCCGCGGUAAUACGUAGGGCGCAAGCGUUGUCCGGAAUUAUUGGGCGUAAAGAGCUCGUAGGCGGUUUGUCGCGUCUGCUGUGAAAACCUCAGGCUCAACCUGGGGCUUGCAGUGGGUACGGGCAGACUAGAGUGCGGUAGGGGUGACUGGAAUUCCUGGUGUAGCGGUGGAAUGCGCAGAUAUCAGGAGGAACACCGAUGGCGAAGGCAGGUCACUGGGCCGCAACUGACGCUGAGGAGCGAAAGCAUGGGGAGCGAACAGGAUUAGAUACCCUGGUAGUCCAUGCCGUAAACGUUGGGCACUAGGUG
rnacentral:rRNA from 1 species